rnacentral:rRNA from 1 species
GUGGGGAAUAUUGGACAAUGGGCGCAAGCCUGAUCCAGCCAUGCCGCGUGAGUGAUGAAGGCCUUCGGGUUGUAAAGCUCUUUAGCCGAUGAUUAUAAUGACUGUAGUCGGAAAAUAAGCCCCGGCUAACUUCGUGCCAGCAGCCGCGGUAAUACGAAGGGGGCGAGCGUUAUUCGGAAUCACUGGGCGUAAAGCGUGCGUAGGCGGUUUUGUAAGUUAGGAGUGAAAGCCCAGGGCUCAACCCUGGAAUUGCUCUUAAAACUACAAGGCUAGAAUGUCGGAGAGGAUAGCGGAAUUUCCAGUGUAGCAGUGAAAUGCGUAGAUAUUGGAAGGAACACCAGUGGCGUAAGCGGCUAUCUGGACGACUAUUGACGCUGAGGCACGAAAGCGUGGGGAUCAAACAGGAUUAGAUACCCGUGUAGUCC